CCCUUAGAUGUCCUGGGCCGCACGCGCGUUACACUGAUGCAUUCAACGAGCUUAUAACCUUGGCCGAGAGGCCUGGGCAAUCUUGUUAACGUGCAUCGUGAUAGGGAUAGAUUAUUGAAAUUAUUAAUCUUGAACGAGGAAUUCCUAGUAAACGCAGAUCAUCAAUCUGCAUUGAUUACGUCCCUGCCCUUUGUACACACCGCCCGUCGCACCUACCGAUUGAAUGGUCCGGUGAAAUCUUCGGACCGGGCGAUAGUCAGCAAUGACCGUUGCCUGGAAAGUUGCUUAAACCUUACCAUUUAGAGGAAGGUGAAGUCGUAACA
rnacentral:rRNA from 1 species